rnacentral:rRNA from 1 species
UACGGAGGGUGCGAGCGUUGUCCGGAAUCACUGGGCGUAAAGGGCGGGUAGGCGGCGCGGGUAGUCAACGGUGAAAGCUUGGGGCUCAACCCCGAGUCGGCCGUCGAUACUCCCGUGCUUGAGCACUGUAGAGGCAGGUGGAAUUCCGGGUGUAGCGGUGGAAUGCGUAGAGAUCCGGAAGAACACCGGUGGCGAAGGCGGCCUGCUGGGCAGUAGCUGACGCUGAGGCGCGACAGCGUGGGGAGCAAACAGG